rnacentral:lncRNA from 1 species
CUAAUUAUUUAUUUCUUCCGGCUUUAUAAACUGCUGAAUUGCAAACUCCUCUAAUCAAAUACUUCAUCAAUUCCUUUAAGCCAAUUAAAGAUAUAAAAUUAAAUGACAAGUAAAUAAAGAGAUUGAGGAAGUUAAUUCUUUCCUACAUUUUCAAUUCAAUUUAAUAAUUUGUAUAGCUGCACAUAUUAGAACACAUGCUCAGCAUUUUACAGGAAGACAAGAGGCUGGUGCCAUGAGGACUUUACCUUCUAAAUGCCAGUCUUCUGCUCUUUCUUCAUAGAAUAAGGGGAGUAGAAUUCAAUUAAUUCUGACUUGCAAAUUGGCAAAGACAGCCCUUCAUUCUUUCCCAUAUCUCAUCUUCUCAGACCACUGACUCCCCAGGGGACUGAGAGAAGGAUCACCGUGCCUGACACCAGGGAGACAGCUAAAGACCCUGCAUGACAACCAUCCCUUGGGGAAUCUUCAUGGAGUACGGCAUCUAGUAGAUUUGCUUCAUUGAUGAUGAAUGCAAGAGUGAACUCCAGAUUAUCCAAUUUGAAAUACCUCAAUGUUGUGGGCUGAUAACAUUUUUAGGUGCCCUGAUUUGUUAGAAAAAAAGAACAUUCAAGUUAUGGAAGAAUAUGAAGCAAUUCCUAGAGUGACAAGAGUGACUUCAGGCAUCUGAAAGCCUGAAAAACUUGGAACAGAAAUAUUUCAACUUGAGUACAUAUCACAG